CUACACAUGCAGUCGACGAUGAAGCUGGAGCUUGCUCUGGUGGAUUAGUGGCGAACGGGUGAGUAACACGUGAGUAACCUGCCCUUGACUCUGGAAUAAGCGUUGGAAACGACGUCUAAUACCGGAUACGAGCUUCCGCCGCAUGGUGAGGAGCUGGAAAGAAUUUCGGUCAAGGAUGGACUCGCGGCCUAUCAGGUAGUUGGUGAGGUAAUGGCUCACCAAGCCUACGACGGGUAGCCGGCCUGAGAGGGUGACCGGCCACACUGGAACUGAGACACGGUCCAGACUCCUACGGGAGGCAGCAGUGGGGAAUAUUGCACAAUGGGCGCAAGCCUGAUGCAGCAACGCCGCGUGAGGGACGACGGCCUUCGGGUUGUAAACCUCUUUUAGUAGGGAAGAAGCGAAAGUGACGGUACCUGCAGAAAAAGCACCGGCUAACUACGUGCCAGCAGCCGCGGUAAUACGUAGGGUGCAAGCGUUAUCCGGAAUUAUUGGCGUAAAGAGCUCGUAGGCGGUUGUCGCGUCUGCUGUGAAACUGGGGGCUCAACCCCCAGCCUGCAGUGGGUACGGGCAGACUAGAGUGCG
rnacentral:rRNA from 1 species